rnacentral:rRNA from 1 species
GACGCUGGCGGCGUGCCUAAUACAUGCAAGUCGAGCGAACAGAGAAGGAGCUUGCUCCUUUGACGUUAGCGGCGGACGGGUGAGUAACACGUGGGCAACCUACCUUAUAGUUUGGGAUAACUCCGGGAAACCGGGGCUAAUACCGAAUAAUCUAUUUCACUUCAUGGUGAAAUACUGAAAGACGGUUUCGGCUGUCGCUAUAAGAUGGGCCCGCGGCGCAUUAGCUAGUUGGUGAGGUAACGGCUCACCAAGGCGACGAUGCGUAGCCGACCUGAGAGGGUGAUCGGCCACACUGGGACUGAGACACGGCCCAGACUCCUACGGGAGGCAGCAGUAGGGAAUCUUCCACAAUGGGCGAAAGCCUGAUGGAGCAACGCCGCGUGAGUGAAGAAGGUUUUCGGAUCGUAAAACUCUGUUGUAAGGGAAGAACAAGUGCAGUAGUAACUGGCUGUACCUUGACGGUACCUUAUUAGAAAGCCACGGCUAACUACGUGCCAACAGCCGCGGUAAUACGUAGGUGGCAAGCGUUGUCCGGAAUUUUUGGGGCGUAAAGCCGCGCCGCAGGCGGUCCUUUAGUCUGAUGUGAAAGCCCACGGCCUCAACCGUGGAGGGUCAUUGGAAACUGGGGGGACUUGGAGUGCAGAAGAGGAAAGUGGAAUUCCAGUGUAGCGGUGAAAUGCGUAGAGAUUUGGAGGAACACCAGUGGCAAGCGACUUUCUGGUCUGUAACU